AGAAGAAACUGCAUCUCUGGUUU
rnacentral:siRNA from 1 species